UACGAAGGGGACUAGCGUUGUUCGGAAUCACUGGGCGUAAAGCGCACGUAGGCGGCUUUGUAAGUUAGAGGUGAAAGCCUGGAGCUCAACUCCAGAACUGCCUUUAAGACUGCAUCGCUUGAAUCCAGGAGAGGUGAGUGGAAUUCCGAGUGUAGAGGUGAAAUUCGUAGAUAUUCGGAAGAACACCAGUGGCGAAGGCGGCUCACUGGACUGGUAUUGACGCUGAGGUGCGAAAGCGUGGGGAGCAAACAGG
rnacentral:rRNA from 1 species